rnacentral:rRNA from 1 species
AGUGGCGGACGGGUGAGUAACACGUAGGCAACCUGCCCAGAAGCGGGGGACAACAUUUGGAAACAAGUGCUAAUACCGCAUAACAACGAAAACCACAUGAUUUUCGUUUAAAAGAUGGUUUCGGCUAUCACUUCUGGAUGGGCCUGCGGCGCAUUAGCUUGUUGGUGAGGUAACGGCUCACCAAGGCUGUGAUGCGUAGCCGAGUUGAGAGACUGAUCGGCCACAAUGGAACUGAGACACGGUCCAUACUCC